ACGAACGCUGGCGGCAUGCCUAAUACAUGCAGGUCGAGCGGUGCAGCAAUGCAUAGCGGCGGACGGGUGAGUAACGCGUGGGCAACCUGCCUCAAAGGUUGGGAUAACACCCCGAAAGGGGUGCUAAUACCGAGUGUGCUCUAGGUGCCGCAUGGCAUAUAGAGGAUAGGAGAAAUCCGUUUUUGAGAUGGGCCCGCGUCUGAUUAGCUAGUUGGUAGGGUAACGGCCUACCAAGGCGACGAUCAGUAGCCG
rnacentral:rRNA from 1 species